CGCGCCGUGCUACCGCUUGUGUUUUCGGUUUGGCUGAACAGUUUUCUCAUUCAUAUUUAACUCAACUUUGGACGCUCUUUUUUUAAGCGACGUCGAGGUGCUACUGUUUACAAAGCUCAAAAUAUCUCCUGGGACUGACGGAAAGACGGGAAAGACGAGUCCUGGGGAGAAGUUUUGGCGUCUUGGCGUCAAACUGUUUAUUUAGGAGCUGAGAAACCCCUGAACUGCGCUGGACUCUGGAUUUACAGCGUCAAAGCUGCGGCCUGUCGUGUGCGACUGGAGACCUUCUCAUUACCACACCUUUCAAGACGUUAAAUGGGUGUGUUGGAGAAGGAAAUGCAAUAAAACGGGGAUUAAAUGAGCAAGAUCGCUGCCGUUUGCAAAUCCUUUGCUUCAGCAUGAGUCAUUCCAGACUGCGAGUCAGAGCCGAGAGUGAAGCGAAGUGUCCUCAGGAGAUUUACUGUGAGAAGUAAACAGUGAGUGGAUGCUGUAUAGGGUGGCAGUUCAUCCUGCUAUUCUGGUCUUCACAGAAAGACGAGCGAAGUUUCAGGAGCUAGUUUCGGGACCGAUGACGGUUACAUAACGUUACAAGACAUGGACUGAAAGUAGAAAAUUCCACGCCGGAAGAUGUGAUCAGCAAUGCUGUCGAAAAUAAAGCUGUACAAGGCUUACGCAGUGCAGAAAGACAGCGGGGCCGCAAAAUAAUGACUAAAAUGAUG
ensembl:lncRNA